AGUAACGCGUGGGUAACCUGCCUUAUACAGGGGGAUAACAGUCAGAAAUGGCUGCUAAUACCGCAUAAGCGCACAGAGCUGCAUGGCUCAGUGUGAAAAACUCCGGUGGUAUAAGAUGGACCCGCGUUGGAUUAGCUAGUUGGUGGGGUAACGGCCCACCAAGGCGACGAUCCAUAGCCGGCCAGAGAGGGUGAACGGCCACAUUGGGACUGAGACACGGCCCAG
rnacentral:rRNA from 1 species